UACAGAGGUCUCAAGCGUUGUUCGGAUUCAUUGGGCGUAAAGGGUGCGUAGGCGGCGCGGUAAGUCGGGUGUGAAAUCUCGGAGCUCAACCCCGAAACUGCACUUGAUACUGCCUUGCUCGAGUACUGGAGAGGAGACUGGAAUUUACGGUGUAGCAGUGAGAUGCGUAGAUAUCGUAAGGAAGACCAGUGGCGAAGGCGAGUCUCUGGACAGUUACUGACACUGAGGCACGAAGGCCAGGGGAGCAAACGGG
rnacentral:rRNA from 1 species